UACAGAGGGGGCAAGCGUUGUUCGGAAUUACUGGGCGUAAAGGGCGCGUAGGCGGCCUGUUAAGUCGGACGUGAAAUCCCUCGGCUCAACCGGGGAACUGCGUCUGAUACUGGCGGGCUCGAGGCCGGUAGGGGGAAGUGGAAUUCCCGGUGUAGUGGUGGAAUGCGUAGAUAUCGGGAGGAACACCAGUGGCGAAGGCGGCUUCCUGGACCGGUUCUGACACUGAGGAGCGAAAGCGUGGGGAGCGAGCCGG
rnacentral:rRNA from 1 species